rnacentral:rRNA from 1 species
AGAAUCAACGCUGGCGGCGUGCCUAACACAUGCAAGUCGAACGAGAAAGUGGAGCAAUCCACGAGUAAAGUGGCGCACGGGUGAGUAACACGUGACUAACCUACCCUUGAGUGGGGGAUAACCUAGGGAAACCUGGGCUAAUACCGCAUAAUACCUACGGGUCAAAGGAGCAAUUCGCUUAAGGAGGGGGUCGCGGCCGAUUAGUUAGUUGGCGGGGUAAUGGCCCACCAAGACGAUGAUCGGUAUCC